UACGUAGGGUGCGAGCGUUAAUCGGAAUUACUGGGCGUAAAGCGUGCGCAGGCGGCUUUGCAAGACAGAUGUGAAAUCCCCGGGCUCAACCUGGGAACUGCAUUUGUGACUGCAAGGCUAGAGUACGGCAGAGGGGGAUGGAAUUCCGCGUGUAGCAGUGAAAUGCGUAGAUAUGUGGAGGAACACCAAUGGCGAAGGCAAUCCCCUGGGCCUGUACUGACGCUCAUGCACGAAAGCGUGGGGAGCAAACAGG
rnacentral:rRNA from 1 species